CAUGGGGAGCAAACAGGAUUUGGUACCCUGGUAGUCCAUGCCUUAAACAAUGAAUAUUACAUAUUAGAUUUAAUAUUUUUUUAUAUUGAAAAAUUUAGUAUAGAAAGUUAACACGUUAAAUAUUUCGCCUGGGGAGUAAAACCGCAAGGUUGAAACUCAAAGGAAUUGACGGGAGCUUAUACUUACGGUGGAGCAUGUGGUUUAAUCCGAUAGUCCGCGUGGAAUCUUACCAAUUUUUGACAGAUUAUUAUUUAUUUUAAAUAAUACAGGUGUUGCAUGGCCGUCGUCAGCUUAUGUUUUGAAAUUUAAUAUAUAAGUACAACCCUUGUUUUAAUUUGCUAUAAUUUAAAAAGGAUAAUUGUUAGAUUAAGCUAUUAAAUUUGCACUAUUAAAAUUAAAUAAAUAUAAGUUAAAAUUAUAUUUAAAAGGAUGAAGAUAGGUCGUUAUGACCCUUAUAAAUU
rnacentral:rRNA from 1 species